rnacentral:misc_RNA from 1 species
GAUGAAGAACGCAGCGAAAUGCGAUAAGUAAUGCGAAUUGCAGAAUCCGUGAAUCAUCGAAUCUUUGAACGCACAUUGCGCCCUUUGGUAUUCCGAAGGGCAUGCCUGUUCGAGCGUCAUUAUCACCCCUCAAGCCCCGGCUUGGUGUUGGGCUCUCGGUGGUCGUCUCCGACCACCCGUCUCAAAGAUAGUGAUGGCGUCCCAGAGGGAACCGGUACGAGGAGCUUUCACGAGCAUGUACGCGGGACGACUCUGCGGGCGACGGUCUUAUUUACUUUAUAUACAAGUGUUGACCUCGGAUCAGGUAGGAAUACCCGCUGAACUUAAGCAUAUCAAUAAGCGGAGGA